rnacentral:rRNA from 1 species
CCUCGGGAGGCAGCAGUGGGGGAUAUUGGACAAUGGGGGGGAACCCUGAUCCAGCGACGCCGCGUGAGUGAAGAAGUAUUUCGGUAUGUAAAGCUCUGUCAGCAGGGAAGAAAGCAAUGACGGUACCUGACCACGAAGCCCCGGCUAACUACGUGCCAGCAGCCGCGGGAAUACGUAGGGGGCAAGCGUUAUCCGGAAUUACUGGGUGUAAAGGGAGCGUAGACGGCUUUGCAAGUCUGGAGUGAAAGGCGGGGGCCCAACCCCCGGACUGCUCUGGAAACUGUAUGGCUGGAGUGCAGGAGAGGUAAGCGGAAGUCCUAGUGUAGCGGUGAAAGGCGUAGAUAUUAGGAGGAACACCAGUGGCGAAGGCGGCUUACUGGACUGUAACUGACGUUGAGGCUCGAAAGCGUGGGGAGCAAACAGGAUUAGAUACCCGAGUAGUC